rnacentral:rRNA from 1 species
UACGUAGGGUGCGAGCGUUGUCCGGAAUUAUUGGGCGUAAAGCGCUCGCAGGUGGUCCGUCGCGUCGUGCGUGAAAGCCCCCGGCUCAACUGGGGAGGGUCACUCGAUACUGAUCGACUGGAAGGCAGGAGAGGGAAGCGGAAUUCCCGGUGUAGUGGUGAAAUGCGUAGAUAUCGGGAGGAACACCAGUGGCGAAGGCGGUUGCCUGGGGCUUUGCUGACGCUGAUGCGCGAAAGCGUGGGGAGCGAUCCGG